rnacentral:rRNA from 1 species
UACAGAGACCUCAAGCGUUAUCCGGAAUCAUUGGGCGUAAAGCGUACCGAUAGGUGGUUUUACAAGUCAGAAGUGAAAUCUCUCAGCUCAACUGGGAGACUGUCUUUUGAAACUGUAAAACUAGAAGGGCAAAGAGGAAGCCGGAACGAACGGUGUAGUAGUGAAAUGCGUUGAUAUCGUUCGGAACACCAAUAGCGUAGGCAGGCUUCUGGGUGCCACUUGACACUGCUAGGACGAAAGCGUGGGUAGCGAAUGGG